rnacentral:rRNA from 1 species
UACGAAGGGGGCUAGCGUUGCUCGGAAUGACUGGGCGUAAAGGGCGCGUAGGCGGACGGCUUUGUCGGGCGUGAAAUUCCAGGGCUUAACCUUGGGGCUGCGUUCGAGACGGGUUGUCUAGAGUUUGGAAGAGGGUCGUGGAAUUCCCAGUGUAGAGGUGAAAUUCGUAGAUAUUGGGAAGAACACCGGUGGCGAAGGCGGCGAGCUGGUCCAUUACUGACGCUGAGGCGCGACAGCGUGGGGAGCAAACAGG